GAUGAACGCUAGCUACAGGCUUAACACAUGCAAGUCGAGGGGUUUUUGAUUAGAAGCUUGCUUUUGAUUAGAAACGACCGGCGCACGGGUGAGUAACGCGUAUCCAACCUGCCUCUCAUAUUGGGAUAGCCUUUUGAAAGAGAGAUUAAUACCGAAUAACAUAUUGAGUUUGCAUGAAAUCAAUAUGAAAGCUCCGGCGAUGAGAGAUGGGGAUGCGUUUCAUUAGGUAGUAGGCGGGGUAACGGCCCACCUAGCCGACGAUGAAUAGGGGUUCUGAGAGGAAGGUCCCCCANACUGGAACUGAGACACGGUCCAGACUCCUACGGGAGGCAGCAGUGAGGAAUA
rnacentral:rRNA from 1 species